AGUAACACGUGGAUAACCUACCUAUAAGACUGGGAUAACUUCGGGAAACCGGAGCUAAUACCGGAUGAUAUUUCGAACCGCAUGGUUCAAAAGUGAAAGACGGUCUUGCUGUCACUUAUAGAUGGAUCCGCGCUGCAUUAGCUAGUUGGUAAGGUAACGGCUUACCAAGGCAACGAUGCAUAGCCGACCUGAGAGGGUGAUCGGCCACACUGGAACUGAGACACGGUCCAG
rnacentral:rRNA from 1 species